UUGGUGUGGGGGCAGUUUUUAUGUUCUAUAAUACAAAGCAUACUAAAUGGAAUAAAUGGAAAUUUAGAGUCACAGUUAAACAUUCGACUUAUGUCUUCUCUUUUAAGCAUUUUAAACUACCUCUAUUAUAUUGAUUUUUAGAAGAAUUGUUUUCUAAAGAAAACUGCUUCCUGAUGUUGGCGCAGUGCUGUGUUUAGUCAUUCCUCCCAAUGCCAGUGAUCCCUUAAAUCUGGGUGUUGUCCAUCAUCAUCCCUGCCCGUCUCCGUGCAUCCACAACUGCCACAUCCUGAGAGCUCAGUCCAUCAUAAAUGCAAUUAUAGCCUUUUACCUCCUCCUCACCAGAUACUCUCUACAGGGCAAGUUCAUCAAACUGUGUGCUUAGAAGCUCUGGAGCAGAACUCUCACCCACCAGAAGAUUGCCUCAAGAGAUAAAAGAUGAUUUACAACCCAAAGUAUGCCCACUAGAGGUUUUGGCCAUUUUUACAAUGUAUUCCUGCCCAUGAAGAUGCCAACUUGACUGCCCAAUACAUAAAGCACCAAAGCAAGUAUGCGGACCCCCCCACACCUCCUCACUUCUGCUCCUGUGUAGACCCCCAUCUUUAAAAGCACUUACUUUCUCCUGCAAAAGCAAAUCAGACCCUUACAGCAGGAAGGCUUUUCUUCUUCUCCUAAACUAGCUUUGGAAUAAAAAGUUAUUUUCUUUA
rnacentral:lncRNA from 1 species